rnacentral:rRNA from 1 species
UGGGGAAUAUUGCACAAUGGGCGAAAGCCUGAUGCAGCGACGCCGCGUGCAGGAUGACGGCCUUAGGGUUGUAAACUGCUUUCGACAGGGACGAAAAUGACGGUACCUGUAGAAGAAGCUCCGGCCAAAUACGUGCCAGCAGCCGCGGUAAUACGUAUGGAGCGAGCGUUGUCCGGAUUUAUUGGGCGUAAAGAGCUCGUAGGUGGUUUGGUAAGUCAGGUGUGAAAACUCCGAGCUCAACUCGGAGACG